rnacentral:rRNA from 1 species
CCUACGGGGGGCAGCAGUGGGGAAUAUUGGACAAUGGGGGCAACCCUGAUCCAGCCAUGCCGCGUGUGUGAAGAAGGCCCUCGGCUUGUAAAGCACUUUCAGUGAGGAAGAACGCCUGGUGGUUAAUACCCAUCAGGAAAGACAUCACUCACAGAAGAAGCACCGGCUAACUCCGUGCCAGCAGCCGCGGUAAUACGGAGGGUGCGAGCGUUAAUCGGAAUUACUGGGCGUAAAGCGCGCGUAGGUGGCUUGAUAAGCCGGUUGUGAAAGCCCCGGGCUCAACCUGGGAACGGCAUCCGGAACUGUCAAGCUAGAGUGCAGGAGAGGAAGGUAGAAUUCCCGGUGUAGCGGUGAAAUGCGUAGAGAUCGGGAGGAAUACCAGUGGCGAAGGCGGCCUUCUGGACUGACACUGACACUGAGGUGCGAAAGCGUGGGUAGCAAACAGGAUUAGAUACCCUUGUAGUC